rnacentral:lncRNA from 1 species
UUUUAUUCCACUUUAUAGAAUAUAAAUGUCAUAUUGCAUCUUAAUGCUGGAGUUUGAUUCAUUGAUCAGACCUAAAUUACCCAGGAUUCCACUUGGGACAACAGACUUCUUUCUUCUGUAUUUCUUUCAGACAAUUAGGUUGUCAUCUAUGAGAUGGUUGGGGGAAAGCAGGAGUGAGGUUGGGGAGGGGGAGAUGAGAUACCCGUGAUCAGAACUGCAUAAAUAUCACGUGGGUACUAAUUAAUGUCCCCUUGUCUUAGGCUCCAGAGGGAUUCUUGGUUGCCUCCAGUGAAAAGAACUGCUGCUGCAACAUCUGCAAAAGGCCAUCCAGAUGUGGAUGAAAGUGUCAUCCCAUCGCCCUCAGAAUCUAGAGGUUUCUGGAUCCAGGUUUCCCCAAGGAAGAAUGGCAGAACACAUUCUCUGUAGCUCCUUCAGUCCCCCUUACUGGGAUAGUCUGGAGGGCUUUGGGACUCCCAGUUUCUGUGCCUGGGGAUUACAGUUCACUCUGAACACUGCCACCAGAAUGUGAACCACCUCUAGAUUAUCUGGCCAUCUUUUAAACAUCUGAACAUUGUUUCCUAAGCUUCCAGCGUGCAUCAAUUUCAAACUGACCAAUGUCAGUUCCCUGAGUCUCACAUCGCCCUUGGAGGACCUAGGUACCGCAUCUGGCCUCUCACCAUUCCUUUCACGUCUCGUCACUCCAUACCAUCACAAUCUGCUCAUUCUGGGGCACUUCCCAAAUUAUACAUCAGGAAAGUGAACCAUGUUCCAGUUUUCACAUCAGAAUGAACAAGGUACUCUGUUGAGGCUGCUCACCUCUAAAUAAUUCUGAAACCUACUUUUAGUCAGAGUAUAAAUCAUAUGUUUGAAAAUAGCCAUCUACGAAUAGCACCUGAGUGAAGGGAUGGGGGAGCCAAUUUCUUUUCAUUGAGGUAACUCCAAACUAGAAGAGCUUGUGUUGUGUCAUGGAAGGAAAUGACCAAAUUGAGUACGGGAAACUGUGACAGGAUUUCAGUGGUGAUUUUCAAAAAAUCAAAUCAUGUUUACUCUGCUUUGCCUGGAAAAAUGUAUUUUUCCUCAUUCCAUUCUAUUUUUCACUCGCCAUGGGAAAGUUUUUUCUUUGAAAAUGUGAAUCUUCAUCUGUGGUCCACAGUUACCCAGUAGUUCUGGCAAGGCCAUGCUGAUGGUUGUCCCUACAGCCUCUAAUAGCAAUAUUUCAGGGUUUAGGGAAAGAAGAGGAUAAUAUCAAUGGUAACUGUCAAAUACAGGGUGCCCCAAAAGACUUAGUGCAGUGCUAAGCUAUCAACUUUCAAUUGCACUAAGACUUU